GAAAUGCGAUAAGUAAUGUGAAUUGCAGAAUUCAGUGAAUCAUCGAAUCUUUGAACGCACAUUGCGCCCGCCAGUAUUCUGGCGGGCAUGCCUGUUCGAGCGUCAUUACAACCCUCAGGUCCCGGGGCCUGGCGUUGGGGAUCGGCGGAAGCCCCCUGCGGGCACAACGCCGUCCCCCAAAUACAGUGGCGGUCCCGCCGCAGCUUCCAUUGCGUAGUAGCUAACACCUCGCAACUGGAGAGCGGCGCGGCCACGCCGUAAAACACCCAACUUCUGAAUGUUGACCUCGAAUCAGGUAGGAAUACCCGCUGAACUUAAGC
rnacentral:misc_RNA from 1 species